rnacentral:rRNA from 1 species
GAUGAACGCUGGCGGCGUGCUUAACACAUGCAAGUCGAACGGAAAGGCUCCUGCUUGCAGGGGUACUCGAGUGGCGAACGGGUGAGUAACACGCGGGGGAUCUGCCCUUCACUUCGGGAGAAGCCUGGGAAACUGGGUCUAAUAUCGGAUAGGAUCGCAUUUUGGACGGUGUGGAGGAAAGUUUUUUCGGUUUGGGAUGAGCUAGCGGCCUAUCAGCUUGUUGGUGGAGUAAUGGCCUACGAAGGCGUAGACGGGUAGCCGGCCUGAGAGGGUGUACGGCGACAUUGGGACUGCGAUACGCAGCAGAAUGCUACGGGCGGCAGCAGUGGGGAGUAUUGCGCAAUGGGCGCAAGCCUGAUGCGGCGACGCUGCGUGCGGGAUGACGGCCUUCGAGUUGUAAACAACUUUCGCUGUAGACGAAGAGUAAUUGACGGUACCUGAAGAAGAAGCAACGGCUAACUACGUG